AGGAUGAACGCUAGCUACAGGCUUAACACAUGCAAGUCGAGGGGCAGCAUGUUGGUUGCUUGCAACCAAUGAUGGCGACCGGCGCACGGGUGAGUAACGCGUAUCCAACCUCCCCUUAGUAGAGGAUAGCCCGGCGAAAGUCGGAUUAAUACUCUAUGUUCUUCAAUGCGGGCAUCUAAGUUGAAGCAAAGAUUUAUCGCUAAGGGAUGGGGAUGCGUCUGAUUAGGUUGCAGGCGGGGUAACGGCCCACCUGGCCUACGAUCAGUAGGGGUUCUGAGAGGAAGGUCCCCCACACUGGUACUGAGACACGGACCAGACUCCUACGGGAGGCAGCAGUGAGGAAUAUUGGUCAAUGGGCGCGAGCCUGAACCAGCCAAGUAGCGUGCAAGGACGACUGCCCUAUGGGUUGUAAACUGCUUUUAUCAGGGAAUAAAGUGAGGCACGCGUGCCUUUUUGUAUGUACCUGAUGAAUAAGGACCGGCUAAUUCCGUGCCAGCCGCCGC
rnacentral:rRNA from 1 species